CGCACAUUGCGCCCACUAGUAUUCUGGUGGGCAUGCCUGUUCGAGCGUCAUUUCAAACCCUUAAGCCCUGCUGCUUAGUGUUGGGGACCGCUAUACUUAGCGGCCUCUAAAGAAAUUGGCGGAGUCGUUCAGGGCUCUCAGCGUAGUAAUUUUUCCUCGCUAUAGAGACCUGGCGGCGCCUGCCAAAACCAUAUUUUCUCAAGGUUUGACCUCGGAUCAGGUAGGAAUACCCGCUGAACUUAA
rnacentral:misc_RNA from 1 species